ACACGGGGAGGUAGUGACAGUAAAUAACAAUGCAGGGCUCUUUGAGUCAUGCAAUUGGAAUGAGAACAAUUUAAAUCCCUUAUCGAGUAACAAUUGGAGGGCAAGUCUGGUGCCAGCAGCCGCGGUAAUUCCAGCUCCAAUAGCGUAUAUUAAAGUUGUUGCAGUUAAAAAGCUCGUAGUUGGACAUUUGGUGGUUGGUGGGAUGGUCGACCGUAAGGUUGGACUGUUACACCACGCCUUUUUGGGGGGGAAAGUUGUGAAAGCAGCUUGACACACCCCGGGUUACUGUGAAGAAAUUAGAGUGUUUAAAGCAGGCGAUCGCAUGAAUACAUCAGCAUGGAAUAACAAGAUAGGACUGGGUCAUACUUGUUGGUUAGUGGGACAAAGUAAUGAUUAAUAGGGCCAGUUGGGGGCAUUAGUAUUUGGUAGUCAGAGGUGAAAUUCUUGGAUUUACCAAAGACUAACUAGUGCGAAAGCAUUUGCCAAGGAUGUUUUCAUUAAUCAAGAACGAAAGUUAGGGGAUCGAAGACGAUCAGAUACCGUCGUAGUCUUAACUAUAAACGAUGCCGACUAGGGAUUAGCAAGCGUCGUUCGCGACCUUGCUAGCACCUUUUGAGAAAUCAAAGUUUUUGGGUUCUGGGGGGAGUAUGGUCGCAAGGCUGAAACUUAAAGGAAUUGACGGAAGGGCACCACCAGGAGUGGAGCCUGCGGCUUAAUUUGACCCAACACGGGAAAACUCACCAGGUCCGGACAUGGUAAGGAUUGACAGAUUGAGAGCGCUUUCAUGAUUCUGUGGGUGGUGGUGCAUGGCCGUUCUUAGUUGGUGGAGUGAUUUGUCUGGUUAAUUCCGAUAACGAACGAGACCUUGGCUGUUAUGUUUGGUGGGUGGGAUUUUACGAUCCUCUUACUGUAAUAACAGGACUGGCUACGUUUAGUAGCCGGAAGUUCGAGGCAAUAACAGGUCUGUGAUGCCCUUAGAUGUUCUGGGCUGCACGCGCGCUACACUGACAGGGCCAGCGAGUGGAACCUUGGCCGAGAGGUCUGGGGAAUCUUGUGAAAUCUUGUCGUGCUGGGGAUAGAUCAUUGCAAUUAUUGGUCUUGAACGAGGAAUUCCUAGUAAAUGCGAGUCAUCAGCUCGCGUUGAUUACGUCCCUGCCCUUUGUACACACCGCCCGUCGCUACUACCGAUUGGAAGGUUUAGUGAGGUCUUUGGGGCUGGUUGUUUGUCGAAAGAUGGACCACUGGCGAAAUUGAACAAACUUGAUCUUCUAGAGGAAGUAAAAGUCGUAACAAGGUUUCCGUAGGUGAACCUGCGGAAG
rnacentral:rRNA from 1 species